UAUGCUACCGCUUUUGGAUGGGCCCGCGGCGCAUUAGCUAGUUGGUGGGGUAAAGGCUUACCAAGGCAAUGAUGCGUAGCCGAACUGAGAGGUUGAUCGGCCACAUUGGGACUGAGACACGGCCCAAACUCCUACGGGAGGCAGCAGUAGGGAAUCUUCCACAAUGGGCGAAAGCCUGAUGGAGCAACGCCGCGUGGGUGAAGAAGGUCUUCGGAUCGUAAAACCCUGUUGUUAGAGAAGAAAGUGCGUGAGAGUAACUGUUCACGUUUCGACGGUAUCUAACCAGAAAGCCACGGCUAACUACGUGCCAGCAGCCGCGGUAAUACGUAGGUGGCAAGCGUUAUCCGGAUUUAUUGGGCGUAAAGGGAACGCAGGCGGUCUUUUAAGUCUGAUGUGAAAGCCUUCGGCUUAACCGGAGUAGUGCAUUGGAAACUGGGAGACUUGAGUGCAGAAGAGGAGAGUGGAACUCCAUGUGUAGCGGUGAAGUGCGUAGAUAUAUGGAAGAACACCAGUGGCGAAAGCGGCUCUCUGGUCUGUAACUGACGCUGAGGUUCGAAAGCGUGGGUAGCAAACAGGAUUAGAUACCCUGGUAGUCCACGCCGUAAACGAUGAAUGCUAAGUGUUGGAGGGUUUCCGCCCUUCA
rnacentral:rRNA from 1 species